rfam:Ovis aries breed Texel chromosome 14, whole genome shotgun sequence.
UCCCUGGAGGCUCAGAGGGUAAAGCGUCUGCCUGCAACGCGGGAAACCUGGGUUCGAUCCCUGGGUUGGGAA